rnacentral:lncRNA from 1 species
AGAACUUUGCCCUAGAUUGCCUUUCCAUUUUCACUGGUUCUUCUGUAUUGCGUGAGAUGCGGUACUAGCUAGCUAGCUACCUUUUAUCACAGAGCUUCUUGCAAAGUGAGGCAGCCAACGGUUACAUCGAGAGCUUCUUGAGUGUGACCCUUAGCUCGAUCUGCAGUUGAGACCCGGUUAUGGCUGUUUCUUAUCAUUAAUGAAGAGUGACAGGCAUAUGAUAUGACUACGUCGAAGGAAUACAUAUCAUCCAUGGAAAAAUAUUGAUUAAGAUUUUGAC